rnacentral:rRNA from 1 species
CGGAUGCGAUCAUACCAGCACUAAAGCACCGGAUCCCGUCAGAACUCCGAAGUUAAGCGUGCUUGGGCGAGAGUAGUACUAGGAUGGGUGACCUCCUGGGAAGUCCUCGUGUUGCAUCCCUC